rnacentral:misc_RNA from 1 species
UUUCCGUAGGUGAACCUGCGGAAGGAUCAUUCAUAAUAAUUGUUUUAUGACACUUUUUUGAAUACAUAUCUCCCUUGUUUGCAAGAUCAGGGUUGAUUUUUCUCUCCAGAGGAUCAGGCCCAAGCAGCAACUAUCUAUCAACUCUUUUUCUUUAAAAUAUUAUGAAUAAAAAAAUUCAAAAUACAACAUUCAACAAAACAUAUCUUGGCUCUCGCACCUAUGAAGAACGCAGCACAUCGCAGGAGCACACAUCUGAACUCCACAACCCAUUCUUCCUCU